rnacentral:rRNA from 1 species
CCGCCGGCGACCGGCGCACGGGUGCGUAACGCGUAUGCAACCUGCCCGAUACCGGGGUAUAGCCCAUGGAAACGUGGAUUAACACCCCAUAGUACUUUUAUCCUGCCUGGGAUGUGAGUUAAAUGUUCAAGGUAUCGGAUGGGCAUGCGUCCUAUUAGUUAGUUGGCGGGUAACAGCCCACCAAGACGAUGAUAGGUAGGGGUUCUGAGAGGAAGGUCCCCCACAUUGGAACUGAGACACGGUCCAA